rnacentral:lncRNA from 10 species
GUGAAAAGGGUUAAAAGGAGCUGUUGGCAAUCAUCUUAGGUGGGCGGGUGAGUCCAGAGUACAGACUCUGUCAGAGAGGUCAAAGCCUGGGGCUUUUCAGAGAAGGGAGGAUUAUGGGUUUUCUAAUUACAUAAGUCAGAAGUAGAAAAAGGGACACAAACUAAGAAGGGUGCUGAGCGCUCGUCACCUGGAGGGACUUGUGCCUCUCUCAGUGGUAGUAGAGGGGCUACUUCUUCCUGCCACGGUCAUGAUUGAGAGGCAACGGGUGGCGAGUCUACAGGGGACGUCGUCGAGCAGACAUGGGAUAACUUUAAGGGAGAAGGUUGGUUGUAAGGCGGUGGGACUGGGUGAGGGAGACUCUCCUCUUCUUCAGAGGGAGGCAGUACAGGGGGAGCUGAACUGGCUGAGGGUCGAGGCGAAAACUCGGUCUGGCUUAGGAGGACCUUGGAGGUAGAAUUAUGAAUGGCUCAUGAACGGAGCCAUGGAGAGUGGAUCCUGACUAAACUUAGCUAUUGAUCAAUGUAGAGAAACUGAUCAGGGUGGCUAGGAGUUUCAGUAACAACCUGCCACACAGCUUGAACAGUUGUGAGGUUCAAUGACCCUUCAGGGGGCCACUUGACUUUAAACUUUGGCCAUUUUAUUUUGCAGAGUGUCUGGAGCUUACCUUUUUUAAGGCGGACUUUAUAAUCCUCUGAACUGAGAGAAAAAUUCUGCAGCAUACAUUGGAGAGGGCUUUAACUUUACAAGGCUGGGAGGAAGUGUUUCUUAUUUUUUUUUUUAAGGCAAUUUAAUAAGAUUUGAGCAUAGAUAUUAAACUUAGCAUGGACAGAGAAACUUAUUUCUUGGGGGACUGGCAUAGUGAAAGAACAGAAUCAAUAUGACUAGAAAGAGCAGAAAAACUUAAAACAGCUAAUACUACUUGCUACAUUGCUGUAGCUUUAAGAUUGAGGGAGGAGGACUAGAGCCAGCCUGAGAUCUUCUGGGUCAGUUUGAUCUAGGCGUUCUUCUUCUUCUUCUAGAUCUGCGCUUUAAAUACUUUUGGUGUCUUUAUGACUUAAAGGCAAAUAGCUUAAACUUAGCUUUUUCUUUUAAGGGUUUAAGGAGUGAGAACAGAGCCAAGUCCUGGAGACGGUGAACUUGCUGUCGCACCAGAAAACGAGAUGUGCAGGAUAGGGGGCAGGGACAAGGCGGAAAAGGACUACUCGGAUCAUUUUUAAGAUGGGAGAGUAGCCACAGAGGAGCAGAGUAAGAAUCUAAACGAGACAGACAAGGGGAGGGGCUCCUGUGAUGGGAUCAGUCAGAUGCCUGCCUGGCCGCUCCCCCUGAGGGGACUUGGGCUCCUCUUAACAUUGGCAGGCUGGUAUAAACUUCCGGCUCAGAUCAAGCUAUGCCUGAUGCUGCCUUAAGCCUUAUGAGGUCGCCACGGAACCGCAGGUGAGGGUCUACUUGAACUCCGUAGCUUUAGCCGUGGAGCUACAAACUGGAGGACAAGCGCAAGCCCUUGUCCUCACUCAUUCAUUAUUCACACAGAGUAUAUAACAGUUUUUUUUUUUUUCUUUCUUGGAGAUUCUUCAAGAAACUUGAACAAGAGAAAGAUGAGAGAUAGAAAGAGAGAGAGAGUGACCGGUCUGCCAGAAACCAGGACUCAGUCCUCCAGCAUCCUGGGAUGUGGACUGAGUCAAGGGAGGGCCGCUGUCAGAGCCACUUCCCUCCUAGAAAGAGACACAGAGGUGCCUAACAGAAAACCAGGGCUCUACCUUCUAGCGUCCUAGAGAAACAGGCAGAGUCAAAAGAGGGACACCCUCAUCAGGGCCGCUUCCCUCUUACUAGAACUGAAGUCAAAUCUGACCUACCUGACCUCAGGGUCAGAAGUCGAGGACUCAGAUGUGGAAUUUUUAUGGACACCCACACGGUAGUCGAUCCGCUCUCCUCUGAAAGACGGUCACCUUUCGGGGACCUAAAAAUUUUUUUUCAGGUGGCACCCCCCCUACAAGCCGGCCGGCCUUCUGGGGGAGCCCAGAGCGAGCCCGGCUCUUGCCUGGUGGCGUUUCUUGCUGGGGCCUCCGAAUGUUGUACUUGAGCGAGUUAGAGAAAAUGUCACACUUUGACAUGAAUUAAGAGUCUGUUUAUUUAGCUGACGGCCAAGAAAUGGCUAACUCUUAAAGUUCUCUUGGCCCCGAAGAAAGGGCUAGAUUUUCUUUUAUACUUCAGUUUAGACAGGGGAAACGGGUCUAGUUAAAAGAAUUUUACAGAAGUAAAGUAGGCAAAAAAGUUAAAAGGAUAAAUUGUUACAGGAAAGUAAACAGUUCUAGGUGUAAGGGCUUUAAGACUAUUACAAAGUGAUAGACGUGGGGCUUUAGGCAUUAUCAAUCGGACAAAUUCCUAGGAACUGCGGAUAUUGCUCGCCACAGUAUCUUAUGAGUUAAUUGCAUUCUUAGAUGUGCUAAGAGUCAGCUUGCACAAGUUAAGUCCUUGAGGAAGGGGCUGUCAGUGAAAAGGCCAAGAUAAAAUCUAUCUAGCUCUCUUAGCUAAAAGAAAGUCAAUUCAGGUAGAAACAAGGCUAAGUGAUUAAAAGAAAAGGAAAGUCUAAGAACAAAGUUAAUAAAAACAAGGUUAGGCAUUACAGAUGGGGUCAUCCUUAUAUUCAGCACAGCGUUUGUCCUGAAACUUCAAUGGAGUGCUCCUAGUUUGAUAACUUGGACCAUGCCAAAUAAAUUGAAUUUCUCUUUCUUAACAACAGAUGUUUGAAUACAGCCCCGUGACCCUUUCUGCUCCUUCCUGCCUUCCUCCUCUCCUCUUCCUUCCCUUCCUUUUCAAGAGCAGGGUUUGCAAACUUUUUCUUGAAAGCAUCAGAUAGUAAAUAUUUUCGAAUUCGUGGGCCAUACAGUCUCUUAUAGUAGUUGCUCAACUCUGCCACCCAUAGCAUGAAAGCAGCUGAUAUAGUUGAAUAUGAGUCCCCACCCAAAACUCAUGUUGCAAUCCCCAGUGUUAGAGGUGGGGUCUGGUGGGAAGAGAUUGGAUCAUGGGGGUGGAUUUCUCAUGAAUGAUUUAGCCUCAUCCCUUUGGUCCUGUCCUUGCAAUAGUGAGUGAGUUCUUGCAAGAUCUGGUUGUUUACGAGUGUGUAGCACCUCCCUCCUUACUCUCUUGCUCCCACUUCACCUUCUGCCAUCAUUGUAAGUAAGUUUCCUGAGGCCUCCACAGAAGCUCAGCAGAUGUCAGUGUCAUGCUCCCUGUAUAGCCUACAAAACUGUGAGCCAAUUAAAGCUCUUUAUAUAUUGCCCAGUCUCAGGUAUUUCUUUAUAGCAUGAGAGAACAGCCAAAUCCAGCAGCCAUAGACAAUAUGUAGCAAAUGGACAUGACUGUGUUUCAAUAAAACUUUAUUGACAAACACAUGCACAAGCAGGUCAGAUUUGGCCCAUGGGCAUUAGUGUCCCAACCUCUGCUCUGGAGUAUUCUCUUCAGCAACCUCUGCCUCCUGGGUUCAAGCAAUUCUCCUGCCUCAGCCUCCCAAGUAGCUGGGAUUACAGGCACCUGCCACCACACCUGGUUAAUUUUUGUAUUUUUUAAUAGAAAUAGGGUUUCACCUUGUUGGCCAGGCUGGUCUCAAACUCCUGACAUCAGGUGAUCCAACCACCUCAGCCUCCCAAAAUGCUGGGAUUACAGCUGCCCACCACCACACCUGGCUAAUUUUUGUAUUUUUAGUAGAGAUGUGAUUUCACUAUGUUGCCUAGGCUGGUCUCGAACUCCUGAUCUCAAGUGAUCCACCUGCCUCGGCCUCCCAAAGUGCUGGGAUUACAGGUGUGAGCCACUGCAGCUGGCCUCUAGAUUUUUUUUUUUUUGAUCGUUGCUUAUUUGGUUUGACUUUCAUUUUUUCCCCCAUUGUGGUAGUCAUUUUCUGAACGCCUGUUAGUUUGUCCAUCUCUCUCCUCUGUAGUCCCUAGAGUCAGAUGAACUCCUCUGCAGGUGCAAUGGUGUAACACACUCUAGUGCUGAAUUUUGAGCAGGAGAAAGAGAGCAAGAGUGACCAGUACCCUUGGAAACUCUGGCCUCCUGAGAAUUUGGUGUCUUCCCUGCAAAGGUUGCAAACCUGUUAACCCACAGGCCGGAGAGAGAGAGAAGUCAGAAUCACGAUCUGUUAAGCUUGAGUUUAAUAUUUGAUGCACAGAGAUCACUGAGUUUUUUGAUAAGAAUUAGAGGGGGAAGAAAUAGCCAGAGAACAAUUUCUAUCUCCAGGUGAGGAUUCAGGAGAUAAUUCUGCGAAAAGAACUUCCUGAGAACUAAGAUGGGGAAAAUCACUGGUAUUAGAAGAGUGAAAAGGUCAGUAAUUAAGGCUACAACUGUGCUCUUAGAGGCAAAAGAAGAAAAUGAGACUGCCAGGCAUGAAUAAUGAGAAAUCUUUGAUGGAAUUAGCCAUGCAGAACAGAUAUUAAAUGCAUCCUCAUUCUUCUCAUAGUCAAAAGUAUUUGCCUAAGCUGGAUGGGAAAAAGAGAAUCCCAUUUCACUAAGUAUAAAAGAGGGGAUUUUAGAGAAGGUCUCAGAAGAAAGAGAUGUGGCGGUUUGGUGAAACUCACCAGAGGCUGAACCCUC